CAUGAGCUGUCCCACCUCCUGCUCCUGCUCAGCUGAGUGCCAGGUCCUGAGGCCUCCACACAGGACCUGUUGUUGUGCCCUGAGGUGGUGAGGGAUCAGCGGGGUGUUGCUCCUGCCUCUGAGAGCAGCUCGGCCUGGUUUGGCUUUGCCUGAGCUUCCCUGUAGGCAAAAGGCCAAGCAGAGCUUGCUUCUGGCUGAGCAGGAGGCUGUGACCUCGCGAAUGAGUAGGCCUCAAGGAGCUCCUGCGGGGCCCAGCUGCUGUGGGCACGGCCAAGGUCAUCUUCAGCACUCAGCCUGUCCUAAAGGCUGAGGGGCCUCAUUCCUGAGGCCAUCACAGUAGCUUAUAACAUGAGCUGCUGCUCCUGAAAGGCUGAAGGGCAUUGUUUAGGCAAAGUCCUGCUUAAAGCUGGACAUCUGGGCUCUGCUGGAAGCACACUAUUCUUCCUGUUCUGGAGAGAGCAGCUGAUGAUAAAAAUUGAUACCAGAACCCAAGAUGCCUUUGAUGUUUGCAAGGAUGAAAGCUUGUGUUGAAUGUCAGGGAGUGUUCAUUGCCAAGAACAGGAAGGUUUUGUUUUUCCUGCUGCCCUUAAUGUUUCUAGAAAACAAUCAUUUCUCUUGGUUAGAGUUUUCUGAUCCCUGUCUCCUCUGACUGUUUCUCCAUGUGCUUAGAUUGCAGUUUAGACUUUUAGUUUAGUGCAGGCCAUCUGCGCUGCAGGGCUGCUUGUCUUGCUGCUGCUGUUUUUGAGGUGGUGCUGGUGCGGUGGUGUUGUUGUUUCCCGACUGACUGAGUUGAGAGGGCCCAGUGUCCCAGAGAGUGGGGCUGCCUUUGUGAUCUGCUGCAGGGUGUGAUCUCUUUUGAAGUGAGCAUCUUUCCUUGGGCUUUUUACAGAGAUGCUGGUGAGCAAGGGAGAUCCUGAGGCGAAAUACACAGAAGUGGAAACUCUUGGCAAAGGGGGUUUCGGCACCGUGUGCAUGGCAGUGGAGUCUGCCACAGGAGAAGAGGUGGCCAUCAAGAAAAUUAGUCUCCUGCAAGAGAGCAGCAGUGAGCUGUGCCUGAAUGAAAUCCAGGUCCUGCGUGGCACUAAGAAUGCCAACCUUGUGAACUAUGUAGACAGCUACCUGUUGGACGAGGAACUCUGGCUCGUGAUGGAAUACAUGGACGGAGGUUCUUUACAUGAUGUCAUCAGGGAGACUCACAUGGCAGAAGGAGAGAUAGCAGCUGUCUCUCGGGAGUGCCUGCAAGGCCUGGAUUUCCUGCACUCCAAUCAAGUGAUCCACCGCGAUAUCAAAAGCCACAACAUUCUCCUGGGCUUGGAUGGAUCUGUCAAGUUGGCUGAUUUUGGCCUUGCUGCUCAGCUCACUGCUGAGCAGAGCAAACGGAGAUCAGCUGUUGGGACUACUUACUGGAUGGCGCCAGAAAUUUUCACCAGGAAGCCCUAUGGCCCCAAAGUGGACAUCUGGUCCUUUGGAAUUGUGGGGAUCGAGAUGGUGGAAGGAGCGCCUCCGUACCUGAUGAAAACCUCCCGCACGGUUCAACAGCUGAUAAGCACCGGGGCCCCCCCGAAGCUGCAGAAGCCCAGGCAGCAGUCGGCGUGGCUGCGAGACUUCCUGCACUGCUGCCUGGAGAGGGACGAGGACAGGCGCUGGUCUGCCCAGGAACUUCUGCAGUUUUCCUGUUGUACCCCUCACUUCCCUGAACCCACUAUCCCUGAGAAGGAGAGGAUGGGAGAUGGAACCUGCUCAAGAGCACAGGUGAGCCACCAGUCAUCUGCCAUCUCCCCUCCUUUUCUGUCCUCUUGCCAGGACAGCACUGGCCAUGCCAACCUGGAGUCUACCCUAACCCACUUUCUGACAGCCCUCAGCCCUACUCUUGCCUUCCUACUGUAUUAGCCAUUCCCCAUUUUUGUUGGAAUUCAUGUUUUAGAGAUCAAACUUACAAUGAGAUUUCACAAUAAAACAGCCAGAGGACCGACUCUGUUGCCCCCACAGGAGACCUGUUCCUGGCCCUGCCAGAAGCUCCCCCACAGGCCAGUCUGCCGGGGUCGGCUGCCAGUGGUCUCUGCCCCAGCACGGGAAAAGGUGGUUCUGGGCAGGCCACACUCUCGAAGAAGGAGUCUGGACUCUUGCUUUUCGGUCUUCAGUUGAGUUUAUUGUUCCUUAUCUACAAAGUUUUUCUGUCUGUCCAGCCGAGGUCUGAUCAGCAAGACAGCCAAGGGCACUCUCUCCCGCCCAUGGGGCGGUUGUCUCUUUUCUAGUGAAAACUACGUAUAAGAUAUUUACCUUUAAUUUCCAAUACUUUUCGCCCUUGUUGGCAAGUGCACUUUCCCUAUGAACCAAUCCACACAUGCCAACAUCAUCCUGAACGUGGAUGCCAAGGAGAAGAAAGAAGAAGGACAGGACAUGCCCAAAUUCCUCCAUCUUAGUACCCCUGACCCCCAUGUACAGAAUUUCAAAACCCCCCUGUAGAACAUAUAAAACCCCCCUGUACAGUGCGUUAUAAUUCAAGUUUUAUCAAGUGCGUAUCUUCCCCUCACCAUUCAGGCCUGAAUUUCUCUCAUUUUCUCACAUUCAGGUGUCUUUGGCUUCCUGCCAGGGUCUCUGAGCCCCUGCCAGGGCUCUGAGACAUCCAGGGCAUCCAGAGAGAUGCUCUGGGUUCCGACACUAGUCCUCCAUCAAAGCUUUUCUUUUGAUUUGUGUGUUUGGUGAAGGGCACAGGGGAAGGUGCCACCACAAGUCCUUUUGAUUUUCUGUUCUCUUGUUUUGUGGGUGAGUGAGGGGGAAUGGAGUGGCAGGGAGCAACCUGGGUCUCAGGCCUUUAGAAGCAAGGGGGAAUGGAAAUCAAAUUCUCUUAUUGUUUAGCUGUGCUCUGCAAUAUGAACCCACCUGUUAAUUUAAAUUGUCAAGUUUAGUUAAAGUCUAUUAAGUGUUGUGUUGUUUUUAGUUAAGACAAAAUUAUUAUUUUUACUAUGAUUGUUAUACAUUUAAUUAUAAAUCAAACAAAAAAGGGGGAGUCGUGGGAGCUUGUGCUGGAGGGCAGGGGCCAGGAACUGACCAUACAGCCACACAUCAGACAAACAACGACCAACACCAAGCCUCAGGAGAAGAGAAGCCACAAGGGAUGACACCCAGACAACUUAUGGGGAGCUUCUCAUGAAGAGCAGAGGACUCUGGAUUGGGAGUGGCCAUGCAGAUCAACAGCCUGCCUGGACCCAUCAGGGCAGAGGGAAAACAGUGCUCUCAUACCAGGACCUCACUGCUGCCUCACCUGAGGGUUUACAGCUGCCUCCAGGCCCUUCCAGGCUAAGCGCAGGUGCUCAGGAGUCUGACUUUUUCCUGACAUCUCCCAAGAAAGUCUUUGCCUCAUCUGGACUUCUUGGGGUUUCAUCAGAGGAACCAGGCACCAGCAAAUUUCAUCUCAAGCGUGAGCUCAUCAUUCCGCUGGUUCCCAUAGACCGCAGAUGCCGCCCUGAGCUCAUGGUUUCUCUGCGUCCCAUAGACCAUCACAGCCCUUCCAUGGCCUCUCCAGAGGGAAGCAGCUGCACAUCUUCAGAGCAGUAUUUGCCAGCCUGCAGUUCAUCAGCCACCCCAGGCACUUCAGGCCCCAGCGCUCCAGCUGGCAGUGCUGGUUUUGCACCAUGGACAGCCCCCAGCUGGCUGUGGAAUACUCCUGGGGAAGAGGAAUUGCCACCACCAGAUCUGGACAUGGUGCUUGAGACGCUGGAGGAGAUGUUUUCUCCCUCUGCUCAGGUAACUGCAUUGGACAGGGAAGAAAAGGGCUGGGAGCUGAGAGCUUGUGAAUGUUGUUGCAUGGCUGAGAAGCAAAGGCUUCUUGAGUUCAGCUCAGUGAAUGGACAGGAAAAGAUUUGCUUGGUGAAACAAGACUUCCUAAAGAAGAGGGAAUGAAAAAGUCUCCCCCUGAAUAAGGAUGAAGAGGUGUGAGCCUGUGUUGGCCAGGUUUGGGUGCCUGUUUUCCUGGGAAGAAUCCCUCGUGCAGGGGUGUUUGUGGUGAGGAAGUGGAAGCUUUGUAGGUUCUAAGAGGCUUUGUUUGGUGGGAAAGAAGAGAAGAGUGUUUGGAGAAUUGCCAAGUGUCCCGUGCAGGGAGGGACAUGCCAGAGGUGCCUGUUCCA